GGGGUUAUUAAGGAUAAUUAGCAAAUUUAUAAAUAAGGAGGUAAACAACCUAAAAGCUACAUUUCUAAAGUGGCAAUCCUAAGGGAAACCUUUUAUUUAAAACUUCCUGAAGUAAAUCAUUUUAGUAAGGAAAGGAAAGGAAAUCAACCGAGACUCCGAAAGUAAUGGUGAGUGAAAUCGGAUUAGCCUAUGAAAAUUAAAAAGUGAAACAACACACACUUAUUUUUUUUAGUAUUUCUAAUCAACUUAAUUUGUGUUCCAAAGAGGGUACAAACCAUAGUCCUGUAAUUUUUUUUUUCUCAUAUUUUUAUCUAUAAAAAAGAUAAAAAAAAAAAUACGAUGAGAGAAAACUUGUCGGAAUAUAGGGGAACCAUCCUCUAAGGCUAAGUAUUAUAAAUUUAGCGAUAGUGAACAGUACUGUAAAGGAACAUGUGAAAAAGUAAAAAAUAAAAUUAAUGAAACAGAUAUUGAAUUAGUAACUCUAUAAGCAGCCGAAAUUAAAUUUUAACAAUAACGGCGUACCUUUUGCAUAAUGGGUCAGCAAGUUAAUAGAAAUAGCAAGGUUAAAAGCCUUAGCGAAAGCGACUAAACUUAUUUAAAAAAGUAAAAUUUUUAUUUUACAAUUUAUUUUUAAUUUUAAUAAAUUAAAAAAAAGUAAUACCUUGUGUUAAACAAAAAAAAUUUUUUAUUAUUGAUAUAAGUUAUUAUUUUUUAAAUUAUAGUUUUGGGUAAGUUAUUUCUAUUAGACCCGAAGCUAGAUGAUCUUUUUAGGGCCAGAUUAUUAAGGAUCGAACGGGUGAAUGUUGCAGAAUUCUCCGAUGAGUUGGAAAUGCCAAUCUGAUCUAGUGCUAGCUGGUAUUCUUCGAAACAUAUGUAAGUAUGACAACCAAUUAAAUUUAUGAAGGUACAGCACGGAAAUUCCGAACAAGUAUUAUUAUUUUUUUCAAACAAUGUUUUUGUUUAGAAAAAUUUAAAGAAAUAUGCGUUUAGGUUGCGGGGAUCUAGUAAAUCUUACCAAUGGAAUUGAAACUCGGAAGUACAUAAAUUGAUGUUGGAUAUUCAGACUGCUCAUGAUAAGUUGGGUAGUCAAGACGAAAACAGUCGAGAACACGCUUUAAGGUCCCAAAUGAUUAUUAAGUGAAAUUAAAGAUGUUACAAAUUGCAAGCAGCUGUAAAGUGAGCCUGGCAGUCGCUACUUUUUAAUGAACGUUGUAACAACGCAGCAGCUCUUUAGAUUGUGGCACUAAAAAUUUAACGGGUCUAAAUAAUCAACCGAUAUCGUGUUAAUUAAUAAAAAAAAAAUUUUUUUUAUUAAUUUAGGUAGAAGAACAUUCAGAAACGGUAGAAACACAGUGUUCCAUUGUGAUUGACGAACUGAAGAGAGAAUGCUGACAUGAGUAACGUAAAAAGAAGUUUUAAUACUUCUCGCCGAAUACGAAAGGGUUAUAAGUAAGGUUUAAACUAACUUAUGUUAAAUGCGGGUCUCUAAGGUACAGAACCAAUGUUCUGGCUGAUGAGGUAGUGAUUGUUAUGUCUUAAUGGAAGAUUGGACCUAGAAAAAGAAUCACUUCUGAAGAAUUAUUAAUAUAGUUUUGAUAUAAUUAUUAAUAAUUAUAUUAGACUAUAUUUAAAAAGGUCACAUUUUUAAAUAAAUGGACUGUAAACAUUUUAAAUUUAAGUUAUAAUGUUAAUUGUUAUAUUUAGGUGAUAAGAUAACAAUUAAGCUUAAGUAAAAAGAACUACCGUACCCUAAACCGACACAGGUUCGUAGGUAGAGAAUACUAAGGCGUAGAGCUAAAAGUUGUAAAGGAACUCGGCAAGUUGUCCUGCAUUGUGUUCUGGGAAAACACAUAAGUGGGUAAAACUAUCAAACUCCGGGGACACCCUAAAACUUAUGGUACCAAACUAUAGUCGAAAGGCUAUAAGUGGAUGGACUAAUCACCCAUGUAAGGUAAUAAGUCAUAAGAUGAUUGAAAAUGAAAUGGGUUAUCGCGGAUCUAAAUCAGAAUUUCAAAACCCACAGCCAAAUGAAAUAUCUGUAAAAGAGCAACGAGUAGAUGGUAGUUGUUGCAUUAAAAAUAAAUUACUGCAAUUAAGGUGUACUCUAAUGGGAUUCCAAAGAAAUGCAGCUUUACUGUAGUUAGUUAAUACACUGAUCUAAAACAAUUCAAAUCAAUAGAAAUUAGGCAUGUCGAUAGACGUAAUCCGAAAGGAAAGUGGAAACCUCCUGAUUUGAAUUGGGUUAGUGUUUACCUUAUUAAAUAGAAAUUUGGGACAAUUGACUAAUUGGCAGUUUGACUGGGGCGGUCGUCUUUAAUAAAGUAGCAAAGUACAUCCAAAGAUUUAUUAAUAAAAAAAAUUCUUUUUAUAAGGUAUAGCUAGAAAUCGAAUGGAGAUCAAUCAACCAGUGUAAAGGUUGCGCAGAGUGUAAUGGCGGAAAGCAUACCUAACUGAAAGACUUAAAAGUCGACCAGAUACGUAAGUAGGGCAUAGUGACCCCUCGCUAUAAAAUGGAAUAGACGGGGAUCAUUUGAUAAAAGUUACGCUAGGGAU
rnacentral:rRNA from 1 species